rnacentral:lncRNA from 1 species
UACGUACGCGCGUUAAGGCGUACGAGUGCGCGGGCAAUACCCUAUCGGCACGUCGAAUCCGGACGCCGAGAUGCCGAUAACUAAAACCGUAUCGUCGGCCCGAGCGGUAAACAUCGUGCCGGUAAGUCGUAACGCAAUGUGGACAACGAUAAUUUAAAUUUCAAAGCAGUAAAAUGUAGAAAACACACGGAAAACGAUCGACGUUGCACGCCGUAAUGACAUAAACAUUAUGAACGAUUCGGCGGCUCUCGAUUUGCGCGCAUUCGGCGCCGGCGAACGGACGAAACGGUCGUGAACGUUGGCGUAAAUCGUCGGGCCCCCGAGGAAGAAGGAUUGGAGUCAAUUUUUCGUCUUCUUUUUUUUUUUUUUUUUCAAUUUCACGUCACGCGUUUUUUUUCUCUUCUAGUUGACGGUCGAAAACCUAAUCCGACGUCUGUGUGUUCAACAUUAAUGCGUGUAGCGUAAUUAGCCAAAGGACGAUUUAGUGUUGUGUUUUCAACAUUUAAUUCGCUCGUGUUAUCGUGACCCGCGGAAAAUUCGCCUAAUUCUUGAAUGUGUCUGCGGCGCUCCGUUAUAUUAUAUAUCAAACCUACCCUAUACUUUUCGCCGUAUUUAUAUAUUUUAUAAUCUACACGCGUGCGGUGUAUUGUUCGAUAGCGAGCAAUUUCAAAAUGUUCCAUUCGAACACGUACAAUUUACACUUGAAAUGUUUUUACAGUAAAAAAUGCGUACCCACCAAUUAUUAUUAUUAUUGUUCGGAUUUAAUGGGUUUUUUGGAAUACGUGUUAUACACGUUUUAAUGAAACGCCGAGCUGUCUGAAUUACUCGCAUACGAUAUCCGUGACAUCUUGUACUGAUGAUCCUACGCGGACUUGUCAACUCGGAUGAGUGAGUGUAUUUGUGUAUUGUGUAUAUGCUUAUUCGGGCGGUUAAAUGUUGACCGCGCACUCGACUACGUCCUCUAUACGUUUAUACAUAAAAUCUAAAUUUAAACCAAAGUCAAUCUUUUUUCUUUUUUUUUUUUUUUUCAUACAUUUAAAAGGAAACGUUUGUGAAUAUGCUGUAAUUUUGUUAAAUCGAUUGACUCAAGGCGUUUAGGUCUCAUUACACGCGAUAAAGCGACUUACACAUUUCUCGUGUUUGUUUUUACAUAUUAUUUACUAUAGACUAACGUUCGCCGACCUGUUUAUCGGAAUUGAUAACUUUUUACCGUCUAAUAAAUUAUAUUAUUGAAUUACAAUGUUAUUGACUUAUUGCAUAGGUACAGCCGACCACGUUAAUUAAUACAAAUUGAAUACCUAAUGCAUAAUUAAUCGUGAAAUUAUAUCAUUUUAACAUCCAUUGGGCCUGCGUGUACACGUUACGUCUAGCCAAUUAAAUUACUUUUCACACCAAAAAUAACUAGGUAUAUAUCGAAAUGCGUACCUUCGUCUUAUCUCUUAAGGGGAUCGGAAGCGGUGAUUUUCUGCCUUCGUCUUAUACACACGCAACAUAGACACAACAUAGACGUGUUCGAUUAUUUCCAACGAUUGAUCUAGUGAGGCCAAAAGAAUUUUGAAAGCACAUUUGAAUGUUUCGUCAUGUCUACUUGAGAUCGGCUUUCCCAGAUUUUUAAUUUUAAUUUUAAUCUCUUCAAAAAUUAAAACGUUCCAUUUUUUUAGUUACUCCUUUCUUUUUUUCUUUUACAGAUUUUUAGGACUGAAGGGGAUAAAAUCAAGAAUGUGGACAAGACGAGUUUAAGUAGAUUCGACGACAAAUUCAAUUCUGUUUUCAGAAUUCGUAUUGCUUCACUAGACCAAUCGAUACGUUAAGAAUAGAAUGCGUCUAAAUUGCCAUGUUGCUCGUGUGUAAGACAAAGAUCACCGCAUCCAAUCACCUUAAGCAUUCCACGUGUUAAUGAUCGACUUCUUAUAAUAAUAAUUGUAAUUGAUGUGUUUAUUUAACUUUUAAAAAUGUUAUCUUUGAA